rnacentral:rRNA from 1 species
ACGCUCGACACCUACUGGAGGCAGCAGUGAGGAAUAUUGGUCAAUGGGCGCUAGCCUGAACCAGCCAAGUAGCGUGAAGGAUGAAGGCUCUAUGGGUCGUAAACUUCUUUUAUAUAAGAAUAAAGUGCAGUAUGUAUACUGUUUUGUAUGUAUUAUAUGAAUAAGGAUCGGCUAACUCCGUGCCAGUAGCCGCGGUAAUCUGAGCGGGCUGGCAAGGC